rnacentral:rRNA from 1 species
CGGGUUGCUCCAGCAGUUAGGAAUAAUCUACAAUGCGCGAAAGCGUGAUAGUUUGAGCCAGAGUGUUUUUCAAUUGAAAGACUUUUGUGAAAUGUAAAAAGUUUCACGAAUAAGGACUGGGUAAGACUAGUGCCAGCCGCCGCGGUAAUACUAGCGGUCCAAGUCGCAACCAUUUUUAUUGGGUCUAAAACAUCCGUAGCUUGCUUGACAAGUCUUCUGUGAAAUUUUACGUCUAAAACGUAGAGCGCGCAGAAGGUACUAUCAAGCUAGAGACCGGAAGACGUAAGAAGUACAUUCAGAGUAGCGGUUAAAUGUGUUAAUCCUGGAUGGACUAACAAGAGCGAAGGCAUCUUACGAGGACGGUUCUGACAGUAAGGGAUGAAAGCCAGGGGCGCAAAUGGGAUUAGAUACCCCAGUAGUC